rnacentral:ribozyme from 1 species
UCUGAUGGAACGUCAGAACGCCACCCGCGCCAAGGUGUUGAGCAACAUGAUUAAGCAAAAGAGAAAGGAAAAGGCCGGAAAGUGGAACGUUCCGCUCCCGCGUGUGCGCCCGAUCAGUCAGGACGAGCUCUUC